rnacentral:rRNA from 1 species
ACGAACGCUGGCGGCGUGCUUAACACAUGCAAGUCGAACGGUGACGGAGAGCUUGCUCUCCUGAUCAGUGGCGAACGGGUGAGUAACACGUGGGCAACCUGCCCCAGACUUCGGGAUAACGCUUCGAAAGAGGUGCUAAUACCGAAUACGAACUCCGUGGGCAUCUACGGAGUUGGAAAGUUUUUCGGUCUGGGAUGGGCCCGCGGCCUAUCAGCUUGUUGGUGAGGUAAUGGCUCACCAAGGCGACGACGGGUAGCCGGCCUGAGAGGGCGACCGGCCACACUGGGACUGAGACACGGCCCAGACUCCUACGGGAGGCAGCAGUGGGGAAUAUUGCGCAAUGGGCGAAAGCCUGACGCAGCAACGCCGCGUGGGGGAUGAAGGCCUUCGGGUUGUAAACCUCUUUCAGCAGGGAAGAAGCGAAAGUGACGGUACCUGCAGAAGAAGCACCGGCUAACUACGU